GUAAGCCAAAGACAGCUACUGGUUUUUAACUAAGGAAACUCCAUCCAUCACACAGAAACUAUAGUGUUGAAAGACACAUGCUGAGAAGUAUGACUCUGGAGCAGAAACGACACGUCUUUUAAUGGAUGACCAUGAUACAGUUACGUUGAUUGACAUUAGAAGGAUCGGUGAAACGGCCAAUCUAUAGGAUGCAAGGACAAAGCUGCUUAUGACAUCUGGUGAGGCAAGGUAGUUCGCAAAGAUGAAUGCUGUAAAACAGAAGGUGGGUUACUCUUGGCAAAC
rnacentral:RNase_P_RNA from 1 species